GCUCCGGUGGCCUAGUGGUUAGAGCGUCCGCCUCAGAUACGGGAGGUCGCGGGUUCGAACACCGGCCGAGUUAUAGCA